GCGUGCGUCCCUCCGCUCAUGCGUGAAUCGUUUUUCCGCCUACUGACUCCCACUCACCACCACGAACAGGUGAAACCCUCACUUUUUCCCCAUCGUUCGUCUCUCUCGUGUGCGGCGGCGGCGGCAGCUCAUCUAGCAGAGAGGCCACGAGAGGUGAUUUGAAGCCAUAAAUCCUAUUCUAUUCUUUGUAAGCAGUCUGUAGCAGAGUACUAUGAGUAUAACUUGGAGCAGAGCACCUUCAAUCUGAGCAUGGCCACGGGGCAAUAUGCAAAAUGCUCAAAUGACCCUCUUGGUACAGAAGUGAUUAAUCUUGAAGAAGACAUAGCCAAGAAACCCCUGCUUGAAGAGCCCAAACCAAAAAAAGUACAUGAAUGAUGGUGAUUGCAUAUGUGAUGACUUUGGGAGAACAAGAAAGUACUCCCAGAUUUUAGUUUGGAUUUCCUUGCUCUUUACUAUGGUCUUUGGGAGAACAUGAAUGAUGGUGAUUGCAUAUGUGAUGAUUAACUUGUACUUUUGAUGACAACCAAGAGAAUUACUAUGGGUUGUAUAACUAUUAGGUUUUAGUACUCUAUGCACUGUUGAACUAUGAGUUGUAUGCACUUGGUUAAAUGUCAAAUGAUGAACUAUUAUAUGUGGCAGAGUUCAAAUUAGUUUA